ensembl:lncRNA
CAAAGCCCCCCAGAACAUAGUUGUAUAUUCUUUGUUGUGGGUCCUUCUAGUUGUGGCGUGUGGGACGCUGCCUCAGCUUGGUUUGAUGAGCAGUGCUAUGUCCGAGCCCAGGAUUCGAACCAACUAAACACUGGGCCGCCUGCAGCUGAGCGUGUGAACUUAACCACUCGGCCACGGGGCCAGCCCCUGUUUUCUUUUAUUUUUAAACUUAGAAGGUUGUUGCCAGUCCAGAGAUUUAGUAGAGUUUUCUUCUUGUUUUUUUAAUCAUAUAAACUAUUUUAAAUGCAAAACACACACUCCCAAAGUCUGGGGAUAUACCCAUCAGCUCAAAGAAAGGCAAAGUAAUGCUGCAUUAAGAAGUUAAAGCUGGCCUCUGUUAGGAACAGCUGGACUGCGCACAUCAAUGAGAGUAUUUGAAAGGAACACCUGUGACUGUCAACGAGCUGCUGAUCAUGAAGAGUGGGGUGCCUGGGAGGAGUUGUUAGAGAACCCUUCUCCUGACUGGAAAGAUGGACUUCCCCACUGAUCUUGAGGCCUCUUCGUGUUCUCCAUGCUCUUCUUUUUUCUAAGUUUCUAGAAGAAAUUUGUAGCAACCGUGGAUUCAAGGAAUGAUGACUUAAGACCUCUCCUAAGAUUGACAGAUAGCUCUGGGUUGCAGAAUGCACAGUUCCUCAUUUUCAGAAGGAACUGAGAGAAACGAAAGAGUUAGAGACCUGGAGAAAGCUGACCGGGAGCACCCAGGAGUCUCUUCGCGUCUCCCAUAAUAAACAGAAGCAGGAUGAAGUUUACAACCUGCACAGAUGGACUGGAGCAGACCACAUAGCUGGAAUUUAGCACCCAGGGACUGGGAUAACCUCACUAGCUCUGUGUCCUUGAACAUGCCCCCACAAAGACCUCUGUAGAGACAAGACCAUAUUAGAUCAUACUUGAAUGAUAAGCAAAUAUUAAUGCCAAGGACUCACUAAGAAUAAAAUCAGACAGACACGUGAAUUUGCUGGAGAGAAUUAUAAAAUCAGAGGCUGAAGGAGAUUGGCGAUGAGGACCUCACAAUUCAAAGUUCAUUCAAGACAUCUUUGAUACAUUCCCAAACACAAGGUCAUCUGGAUGCCUGCAUCUUGGGGCUCACUAAGUAAGUAUCUUGGAACCAGAGUUUUUCUCUUUCAAUUUUGGUUCCACUAGAAUUCCUAAAAUGGCAAUUCCUAUGCUUUAGAGAGCAUGUUAAUCUCCUGGAAGUGCUUGUUGGAAAUGUAGAUGCCUGCUGACCCUGAGAAGCUCCUGGAGACGAUGCUGCUGCAGGUGGGCUGAGCCCAUUGUCUGCGUGUUACUGCCAUCACGGCGUCACACUGGUUGACAAGUGCAGGUCUUGUGCCACUCAGAAAGAAAGUCGUGUUUUCUCUCCCACUGAUCUCUCACCAAGAACUAUGAGUAAAGACUAAAUAAAAGGAACAGGUCUAAAGAAAAACAACACAGAAUAGACAAACCCCCAGUUUUAUAUGGAUGUACUUCUGAAAGGUUGUAUAUAAAUCAGAUUUCUGUGAGUUAAUCUUUACUUUCCCUUCACUUAAAUCUCAACAUGUUAUAGUCACUUUUGAUUUUCAUGUGGGAGUGACUGCCACAUUCACUUUAUUUUUCAUCUCCACGUAGCCUCCCCACCAUGAACUUAACUACCUGUGAAUGGACUAAGGAGAAUAAGCAAGAGCAUGGAGGGCCAUCUGCCUCCCGGCAGCAGAGCCCUUCCUCACUGGGGGCCCCCCUCCCACACACUGACAGCUGGGGUCUCAUCUCUCUCGGGGUCACACUGCUGUGGGUUUCCUGCAUCUGUGUGUGGGAUUUGCGUUCUGCCCAAGGCCCUGGCUCUCUCUGCGCUCUGCCCCCGCUGACUGUUCCCUGGCUGACCUGUGAAGUUGUGGCUGGAGACCCAGAAUGACCUAGCCCUUGCCUAUUCCUCAGGAUACACCACCUGUCAGACCAGUUGCCCUGGUUGGGCUGGUCUCCUGUCUGGCUCCACUCUGGGUCAGUACCAUCUACUGACAAGAGGGCCCAGAAGCCAUUCCCAGUUGGAGCUCAUGCUCAUGUGCAUGCUUGGCAGCCAGCAACUCCUACCAGUGUUUGCUACCAGAGUGGGUAAAAUACACGCUCACAAAGAAAGACAGACAACCAAAAAGAUUUUGUCCCCCAACAAUGGUCUCCCCUGAGAUGCUCUAUCUCUUCUUCCUCCUACCUCUCUGCCCUCAAACCCCACAAAUAUGUCUGUCUUGUCCACGCAAAACCCACUGGAUCCUAUUCUCCUAUUUUUUUACUUGUCUGUCACAAAAUUCUGGGAAACAAAGAAUAAACCAGAUGUGACAGAAAUGAGAGAAGCUUGCAGGGAAACAGCCCAAUAAUAAGUGGAGAUUGCCACUGACUUCUAUGUCCUGAAGGGGCAGCCGUCUAGACGCAGUGUUCCCACGACUUUUGAGAUAUAUAUAUAUAUAUAUAUCUUGAGAUAUAUAUAUAUAUACUUUGUGUGUGUGAGUGUGUGAGGA